rnacentral:rRNA from 1 species
UGGGGAAUAUUGCACAAUGGGGGAAACCCUGAUGCAGCAACGCCGCGUGAAGGAUGAAGGUUUUCGGAUCGUAAACUUCUAUCAACAGGGACGAAACAAAUGACGGUACCUGAAUAAGAAGCCCCGGCUAACUACGUGCCAGCAGCCGCGGUAAUACGUAGGGGGCAAGCGUUAUCCGGAAUUACUGGGUGUAAAGGGAGCGUAGGCUGCACGUCAAGCCAGAUGUGAAAGCCCGGGGCUUAACCCCGUGGAUUGCAUUUGGAACUGGCGAGCUAGAGUACAGGAGAGGAAAGCGGAAUUCCUAGUGUAGCGGUGAAAUGCGUAGAUAUUAGGAAGAACACCAGUGGCGAAGGCGGCUUUCUGGACUGAAACUGACGCUGAGGCUCGAAAGCGUGGGGAGCAAACAGGAUUAGAUACC